ACUUAAACGUGGUUGUACUUGCU
rnacentral:miRNA from 7 species